GAUGAAGAACGCAGCGAAAUGCGAUACUUGGUGUGAAUUGCAGAAUCCCGUGAACCAUCGAGUCUUUGAACGCAAGUUGCGCCCGAAGCCACUAGGCCGAGGGCACGCCUGCCUGGGCGUCACACGCCGUUGCCCCCCCAUCUACUCCUUCGGGAUUGCGGGGGGGCGGAUGAUGGCCUCCUGUGCGCCUAGCCGCGCGGUUGGCAUAAAUACCAAGUCCUCGGCGACGCACGCCACGACAAUCGGUGGUUGCGAAACCUCGGUUGCCCGUCGUGUGCGUUCGUCGCGCAUCGAGGGCUCGAAAAAAUGCUCGGCUCCGGCUGGGUUUUCAACGCGACCCCAGGUCAGGCGGGGUUACCCGCUGAAUUUAAGCAUAUCAAUAAGCGGAGGA
rnacentral:misc_RNA from 1 species